CUCCUGCUCACUUAAUGUUUAUUAAGUUCAUCUUUGUCAUUCAUUUAUAUCCUAUAAACGGUAGAAAUGAUGGUGCUUUUACUGGUGCAGUUGCUGCUCCGGGUUGGUUUUUAUUCUUGUCGUAUUGGCUGUUCGUUAGGAUCAAUCUAAACUCUUGUACUCGAACGUGCAGUAAAAUGCGUGUUGAAGUUAUUUAACAUCUACUGACAACAUUUGAUGAGAGUGAAUUCUUGACUUGCAAUUCAGCCAUGUUGGCGGUUUGAUAGAAAUGAAUAUUUUAUCAGUGUUAUUGUUCGCACUAGCCGACGUAGGCGAGCAACAUUGUUUGGUAAAUCUUAAGAGAAUGGUUGCAAGUCAAGAAUAGUUCUGAAUUGAAAUUUAAAUUAUCAAAUGCUCAAAUCAAACACUCUGCGGCGACUGCUCACUUUAAUGUCUUAAUCUAUAGGUUAGUUUAUCAACCGCUUGCUUGUUCAUUAAAAUUAUUUAACAAUGAUUGUAAUUUGUAUAGAAGUAAUAAAGAACUUACCUUUUAGAAAGGAAAAUUACAACUCAGUAUACGUAGGCACUGGAUGUACGAUUUGGCAUUGUGAAAGUGGAUUGUAUUUUGGAAUCAUCAGAAUGUUCUAACCCACUAUGAGAAAACUCAAUUACUACGAUUGGUGAUUAACAGAAAAGAAGACAUGGCUUUGAAGCAAUGACACAAAAUUUUACAAGAUGUACAAAUCAUGAAGCGCAAUUGCCUAACUGGUUUCAAUUUUUGGCUUAUGCUUUCAUUCCAGUUAUUUAAAUAUUGAGUUCACUGGUUCACUGAUGUCAUGCAAUAUGGCGGAUAGUAAGAAUUUGGAUAGUCUUGUGGUUACGGACGAAAUUUUGUCAUCAAAAAGGAUAUUAAAAAAGGUCGUAUGGUCCGUGAUUCAUGACAUAUCGUGGCCGGUUCAUGAUGUUUCUAAAGAUGUUCACAGUAUGGUGGAAAUUUUAUCUAAAGUUGAACAUUCACAAAGAGCUGCUGAUGUAAAUAGACCUGUCAUUGUUAUAUGCAGUGACGGAGCAGGUCACUGUGGUACCUAUAUUGCUAUCUCAAAUCUUGUCGACCGAGUCAAAACUGUCCAAGCGAUUAAUGCGUUCCAAUGCAUCAAGCUGAUCCAGAAUAGACGCCACAGUUCGUUGAAACAGCGAAAGCUAAGCUUGAGGGAA